rnacentral:misc_RNA from 1 species
GAUGAAGAACGUAGCGAAAUGCGAUAAGUAAUGCGAAUUGCAGAAUUCAGUGAGUCAUCGAAUCUUUGAACGCACAUUGCGCCCUGUGGUAUUCCGCAGGGCAUGCCUGUCCGAGCGUCAUUGCCGCCCUCAAGCACGGCUUGUGUGUUGGGCCCCCGCCCCCCGGCUUCGGGGGGCGGGCCCGAAAGGCAGCGGCGGCACCGCGUCCGGUCCUCGAGCGUAUGGGGCUUCGUCACCCGCUCUGUAGGCCCGGCCGGCGCCCGCCGGCGACCCCAAUCAAUCUUUCCAGGUUGACCUCGGAUCAGGUAGGGAUACCCGCUGAACUUAAGCAUAUCAAUAAGCGGAGGA